GCAAGUCAGAAAUGGAAAAAAUCUGCAGAUAAUCCUUUGAAUUGCCUGAAAUUCAUUUAGCAUUUUUGAACAGAAUGUAACUAUCGGGUAUGAGCUGCUCAGUGGCUGUUGAGGGCAGGUUGAGGCAUUCUGAGGACAAAACUGAUUGCAUUUACAUGGAAGGCAAGAAGUCAUGAAAGAUAAUACGCAAGGAUGCUGCAUGACUUCAUGGACAUUCCAUCUAUUGUUCCGGCACUGUCCUUCACACAAUGCAGCAUCUACACAAUAAGAAGGCUCCUGCUAAAGCAGCAGAUAGAGGGCAUGAGGAGGAGAGCUUUCAGCCGAUCAAACAAUUGUAUCCUUUCCUGGAUCAAAAGGUGUGGAAGUAAGUCACUCACUUCCUUGUCAUUUUUUGAUUAGCCUAUAUGCAGUCCUUGGUUAACAACUGCUCUGUUUUGUGACCAUUCAAAGUUAAAGCAGUGCUAACUACUUUUCUGUAUUGUUUUUCUUCUAUGGUCAGAUUUUUUUAUGAGCGGUUGUUCGGAAUUCUAUUUAGUUUUCUGAUAAGAGGCUUGUUCUGAAUCCCACUGUUUCCCACAAUCCAAAUAUCUGAAACAAUUUAAGAUUUUCUGCCAAAAAAGGGAGCAAUAAAUUAUUUUCAUUUUUUUUAAUUACACCAUAAUUCGCCUGAAAAAGUUAAAAAAAAAACCUUUCUAGAAUGCAAUAUUGUUUUAUAUAUAAGAAAGGUCUGUUAAAGUACAGCUGUGUUUGAUGCUGAACAAUUGAGACUGAUUAAUGGAUUGUGUCAUUCAUCUGUUUUCUCUCUUUUCUUCCUUCUCUUAUUUUUUCUUCCUUAAUGUUCUUCUUUCUCCCAUACUUAAGAGGCAAAACAAUGGUGUAGAUUUCUUAAUUUAAGCAGUGCUUUGUGGAGGGGAGAGACACAACGGUUUCCUGCUGAUGACAAUUUCAUACUCAGCUAUUCAAUCUACACAGUCCAACCUGGAAAGAACUGAACAUUAUUAUUUUGAGUGUGUGAUCUGGGUGAAUUUGCUGUACAACGUUUGUUUCACAAUUUAAGCAACUAUCUAGGUGUUCAUUUGUUCUUAUCCCAACACAAGCAGAGCAAAGAGUCUCCCCAAAAGUAAUCUAUUAGUAAAAUACAUCAAAUAACUUAUUAAGAGUUCUUCCCCAAUAACGGUAGUA